rnacentral:rRNA from 1 species
GACGAACGCUGGCGGCGUGCUUAACACAUGCAAGUCGAACGAUGGAGCCGGAGCUUGCUCUGGUGAAUUAGUGGCGAACGGGUGAGUAACACGUGAGUAACCUGCCCUUGACUCUGGGAUAACUGCGGGAAACUGUAGCUAAUACCGGAUACGACCAUCGGAGGCAUCUCCUGGGGGUGGAAAGAAUUUCGGUCAAGGAUGGACUCGCGGCCUAUCAGCUAGUUGGUGAGGUAAAGGCUCACCAAGGCGACGACGGGUAGCCGGCCUGAGAGGGUGACCGGCCACACUGGACUGAGACACGGCCCAGACUCCUACGGGAGGCAGCAGUGGGGAAUAUUGCACAAUGGGCGCAAGCCUGAUGCAGCAACGCCGCGUGAGGGAUGACGGCCUUCGGGUUGUAAACCUCUUUUAGCAGGGAAGAAGCGAAAGUGACGGUACCUGCAGAAAAAGCACCGGCUAACUACGUGCCAGCCGCCGCAGUAA